UACGUAGGGGGCUAGCGUUGUCCGGAAUCAUUGGGCGUAAAGCGCGUGUAGGCGGUCCGGUAAGUCCGCUGUGAAAGUCGGGGGCUCAACCCUCGAAUGCCGGUGGAUACUGUCAGACUAGAGUACGGAAGAGGCGAGUGGAAUUCCUGGUGUAGCGGUGAAAUGCGCAGAUAUCAGGAGGAACACCCAUUGCGAAGGCAGCUCGCUGGGACGUUACUGACGCUGAGAACGCGAAAGCGUGGGGAGCAAACAGG
rnacentral:rRNA from 1 species